CCCUUAGAUGUCCUGGGCCGCACGCGCGCUACACUGAGUGUCUGAGAUACGAGUAUGCCUGGUCCGGCAAGGUCUAGGUAAUCGCUAAAAGACACAUCAUGCUUGGGAUAGAUUAUUGCAAAUAUUAAUCUUGAACGAGGAAUUCCUAGUAAGCGCAAGUCAACAGCUUGCGUUGAUUACGUCCCUGCCCUUUGUACACACCGCCCGUCGCUACUACUGAUUGGAUGUUUAAGCGAGGUUCUCGAACUGCUAGCGACUUAGCUUCGGUGAGGUCGCAGUGUGGGAAGUGAACCUAGCUUUGGUGUCUAGAGGAAGUAAAAGUCGUAACA
rnacentral:rRNA from 1 species